rnacentral:rRNA from 1 species
UACGUAAGGUCCGAGCGUUGUCCGGAAUCAUUGGGCGUAAAGGGUACGUAGGCGGUUAGAAAAGUUAGAAGUGAAAGGCUAUAGCUCAACUAUAGUAAGCUUUUAAAACUGAUUAACUUGAGAAAUGGAAGGGAAAGGGGAAUUCCUAGUGUAGCGGUGAAAUGCGUAGAUAUUAAAAAGAAUACCGGUGGCGAAGGCGACUUACUGGGCUCAUUCUGACGCUGAGGAACGAAAGCGUGGGUAGCAAACAGG